GACGAACGCUGGCGGCGUGCCUAAUACAUGCAAGUCGAACGCAGUGGGGACGGGUGAGUAACACGUUGGUAUCCUCCCAUCAGAGGGGAUAACACUUGGAAACAGGUGCUAAACCGCUACUGAUGGAUGGACCCGCGGUGCAUUAGCUGGUUGGUGAGGGAACGGCUCACCAAGGCCACGAGGCAUAGCCGACCUGAGGGGAUGAUCAGCCACCCUGGGACGGAGACACGGCCCAGACUCCUGCGGGAGGCAGCAGUAGGGAAUCUUCGGCAAUGGACGAAAGUCAGAACGGGCAACGCCGCGUGAGUGAAGAAGGUUUUCGGAUCGUGAAACUCUGUUGUUAGAGAAGCGGUAUCUAACCAGUAAGCAACGGCUAACUACGUGCCAGCCGCCGCGGUAAUAC
rnacentral:rRNA from 1 species